rnacentral:rRNA from 1 species
UAGGGAAUCUUCGGCAAUGGACGAAAGUCUGACCGAGCAACGCCGCGUGAGUGAAGAAGGUUUUCGGAUCGUAAAACUCUGUUGUUAGAGAAGAACAAGGACGUUAGUAACUGAACGUCUCCUGACGGUAUCUAACCAGAAAGCCACGGCUAACUACGUGCCAGCAGCCGCGGUAAUACGUAGGUGGCAAGCGUUGUACGGAUUUAUUGGGCGUAAAGCGGGCGCAGGCGGUUUCUUAAGUCUGAUGUGAAAGCCCCCGGCUCAACCGGGGAGGGUCAUUGAAAACUGGGAGACUUGACUGCAGAAGAGGAGAGUGGAAUUCCAUGUGUAGCGGUAAAAUGCGUAGAUAUAUGGAGGAACACCAGUGGCGAAGGCGGCUCUCUGGUCUGUAACUGACGCUGAGGCUCGAAAGCGUGGGGAGCAAACAGG